UUCUCUUGAGAGCGGCGGACGGGUGAGUAAUGCCUAGGAAUCUGCCUAGUGGUGGGGGAUAACGUUCGGAAACGGACGCUAAUACCGCAUACGUCCUACGGGAGAAAGCGGGGGAUCUUCGGACCUCGCGCCAUUAGAUGAGCCUAGGUCGGAUUAGCUAGUUGGUGAGGUAAUGGCUCACCAAGGCGACGAUCCGUAACUGGUCUGAGAGGAUGAUCAGUCACACUGGAACUGAGACACGGUCCAGACUCCUACGGGAGGCAGCAGUGGGGAAUAUUGGACAAUGGGCGAAAGCCUGAUCCAGCCAUGCCGCGUGUGUGAAGAAGGUCUUCGGAUUGUAAAGCACUUUAAGUUGGGAGGAAGGGUAGUAACUUAAUACGUUGCUACUUUGACGUUACCGACAGAAUAAGCACCGGCUAACUUCGUGCCAGCAGCCGCGGUAAUACGAAGGGUGCAAGCGUUAAUCGGAAUUACUGGGCGUAAAGCGCGCGUAGGUGGUUCAGUAAGUUGGAAGUGAAAUCCCCGGGCUCAACCUGGGAACUGCUUUCAAAACUGCUGAGCUAGAGUACGGUAGAGGGUGGUGGAAUUUCCUGUGUAGCGGUGAAAUGCGUAGAUAUAGGAAGGAACACCAGUGGCGAAAGCGACCACCUGGACUGAUACUGACACUGAGGUGCGAAAGCGUGGGGAGCAAACAGGAUUGGAUACCCUGGUAGUCC
rnacentral:rRNA from 1 species